rnacentral:misc_RNA from 1 species
ACGAGCCUUUCAGAUCAGCGCGAACACGUGAAUCGAGCAUGGGGGGGCGCGCGCGUACGCGCUGGUUCGUCGCGUCGGCGAGCCGGACGUGGUGGCGGCGCCCCGGCGCGUGGGGCGAACGGCAUGACGCGGGGACACCUCGAACGCCGCCGAAAACGAACCCCCAGAGGCGCGGAUCGUGCGCCAAGGAACGGAAAAAGGAGUCGGGACAUGGCCCCCCCCCGCACGCGUGCGCGGGGGCGUGUACCGAUGGUGCGCGAUGAGCCGCCGAAACGAAC